AAUACCCUCAACGGACUUUUCUUAACGGAGAAGAACGUUGGACUUGGAAUUUGCUGGAUUUCAUUUCAGCUCUUCCUAAAUACAUUAGUGUUGGCACUCUGGGCUGAACGCUUGCUGGUGUGAUAAUUCAUCAUUCACCGUAGUCAAGAUCGCAGUGAGAGUCCGAUGCUCAUAACUCCUCAAUACCUGGAUUGUGUUGUCUCAUUAGUGAUGCGCAUGAAUGGUAUAUAACAAAAA
rnacentral:misc_RNA from 1 species